rnacentral:rRNA from 1 species
UAGUGAGUUUGAUCCUGGCUCAGGGUGAACGCUGGCGGCGUGCUUAAGACAUGCAAGUCGAACGGCAGUCUUCGGACUGUAGUGGCGCACGGGUGAGUAACGCGUAACUGACCUACCCCAAAGUCGCGGAUAACGGUUCGAAAGAAUCGCUAAUACGUGAUGUGCUGCUCCCUCCUGUGGGAUCAGUAAAGAUUUAUUGCUUUGGGAUGGGGUUGCGUUCCAUCAGCUAGUUGGUAGGGUAAAGGCCUACCAAGGCGACGACGGAUAGCCGGCCUGAGAGGGUGGCCGGCCACAGGGG